rnacentral:rRNA from 1 species
ACGCUCGACACCUAUGGGAGGCAGCAGUGGGGAAUAUUGCACAAUGGGGGAAACCCUGAUGCAGCGACGCCGCGUGGAGGAAGAAGGUCUUCGGAUUGUAAACUCCUGUUGUUGGGGAAAAAGAGGAUGGUACCCAACAAGGAAGUGACGGCUAACUACGUGCCCGCAGCCGCGGAAUCUGAGCGGGCUGGCAAGGC